AGUUGUCUGGGUUAUUGGUGAUUUAGUUACAAUCUUGUACCGAUACUACUUAGAAAAGGGAGCCUUGGUGUUUUGACUAGAGAGCAAGCUUUGAUGCUCUUGCAUUGACAAAGAAGCCCAACGUUGAAACUAUGGCACCCACCUUGAUACCAUAGGGAUCAAGAAUAUUGAACUAAAACGGUAAUCUGGACAACUA
rfam:Francisella tularensis subsp. tularensis SCHT S4 complete genome